rnacentral:rRNA from 1 species
UGGGGAAUAUUGCACAAUGGGGGAAACCCUGAUGCAGCGACGCCGCGUGAACGAAGAAGGUAUUCGUAUCGUAAAGUUCUGUCCUAUGGGAAGAUAAUGACAGUACCAUAGAAGAAAGCUCCGGCUAAAUACGUGCCAGCAGCCGCGGUAAUACGUAUGGAGCGAGCGUUGUCCGGAAUUAUUGGGCGUAAAGGGUACGCAGGCGGUUUAAUAAGUCGAAUGUUAAAGAUCGGGGCUCAACCCCGCAAAGCAUUGGAAACUGAUAAACUUGAGUAGUGGAGAGGAAAGUGGAAUUCCUAGUGUAGUGGUGAAAUACGUAGAUAUUAGGAGGAAUACCAGUAGCAAAGGCGACUUUCUGGACACAAACUGAUGCUGAGGUACGAAAGCGUGGGGAGCAAACAGG